AAUAGUAAGGAAUGUAUUCUGGAACAUUGGACAAGGAUUUUCUGAACGUGGAUAUGAUAUUAUAUUACUCUCAUCUACUCCUCCGUUCUACAACUAUUAUAAUUCAUAAAUGGUAUAUUCAAGGCAAAUGACGUUACAAUUAUUUUAUUUAACUUGUUUAUUACGCUUUCAUUGCGCAGAGUUGAUAUAAUUUUCGUUUUUAGUACG